CCUACGGGUGGCAGCAGUGGGGAAUAUUGGACAAUGGGCGGAAGCCUGAUCCAGCCAUGCCGCGUGUGUGAAGAAGGCCUUUUGGUUGUAAAGCACUUUAAGCGAGGAGGAGGCUACUAGUACUAAUACUACUGGAUAGUGGACGUUACUCGCAGAAUAAGCACCGGCUAACUCUGUGCCAGCAGCCGCGGUAAUACAGAGGGUGCGAGCGUUAAUCGGAUUUACUGGGCGUAAAGCGUGCGUAGGCGGCUUUUUAAGUCGGAUGUGAAAUCCCCGAGCUUAACUUGGGAAUUGCAUUCGAUACUGGGAAGCUAGAGUAUGGGAGAGGAUGGUAGAAUUCCAGGUGUAGCGGUGAAAUGCGUAGAGAUCUGGAGGAAUACCGAUGGCGAAGGCAGCCAUCUGGCCUAAUACUGACGCUGAGGUACGAAAGCAUGGGGAGCAAACAGGAUUAGAUACCCGUGUAGUC
rnacentral:rRNA from 1 species